GUUCUCUUCAGCAGCACAUACACUAAAAUUUGAACAAUGUAGAGAAGAAUUACAUAGCCCUGUGGAAGGAUGACUUGCAAAUUUGUGAAGCAUGCCAUAUUAAA
ensembl:snRNA U6 U6 spliceosomal RNA